rnacentral:rRNA from 1 species
AACUUUUCAGCUAGAGUUUGAUAGAGGAAAGCAGAAUUUCUAGUGUAGAGGUGAAAUUCGUAGAUAUUAGAAAGAAUACCAAUUGCGAAGGCAGCUUUCUGGAUCAUUACUGACACUGAGGAACGAAAGCAUGGGUAGCGAAGAGGAUUAGAUACCCUCGUAGUCCAUGCCGUAAACGAUGUGUGUUAGACGUUGGAAAUUUAUUUUCAGUGUCGCAGCGAAAGCGAUAAACACACCGCCUGGGGAGUACGACCGCAAGGUUAAAACUCAAAUGAAUUGACGGGGACCCGCACAAGUAGUGGAGCAUGUGGUUUAAUUCGAAGAUACGCGCAGAACCUUACCAACACUUGACAUGUUCGUCGCGACUUUAAGAGAUUAAAGUUUUCGGUUCGGCCGGACGAAACACAGGUGCUGCAUGGCUGUCGUCAGCUCGUGUCGUGAGAUGUUGGGUUAAGUCCCGCAACGAGCGCAACCCUCACUUUUAGUUGCCAUCAUUAAGUUGGGCACUCUGAAAGAACUGCCAGUGAUAAGCUGGAGGAAGGUGGGGAUGACGUCAAGUCCUCAUGGCCCUUACGUGUUGGGCUACACACGUGCUACAAUGGUAUCUACAACAGGAAGCAAAACGGCGACGUUAAGCAAAUCCUUAAAAGAUACCUCAGUUCGGAUUGCACUCUGCAACUCGAGUGCAUGAA